ACGGGGGGGGCUAGCGUUGUUCGGAAUUACUGGGUGUAAAGAGCGCGUAGGCGGCUCGUUAAGUGAGAAGUGAAAGCUCUGGGCUCAACCCAGAAACCGCUUUUCAUACUGGCGAGCUGGAGUGAUGCAGAGGUGGAUAGAAUUCCCGGUGUAGCGGUGAAAUGCGUUGAUAUCGGGAGGAAUACCCAUGGCGAAGGCAGUCCACUGGGCAUCAACUGACGCUGAGGCGCGAAAGCGUGGGUAGCAAACAGGA
rnacentral:rRNA from 1 species